rnacentral:ncRNA from 1 species
UUGAGCCGGAUGCGGUGAAAGUCGCACGUCCGGUUCUGAGGGGGAAGGAGUGGUAACGCUCCCGACCUACCCGAC